GGUUCAAAUAUGUUCUUGAAUUCUUUGUUGUCUUCUAAUAUACUGGGCAUUAUUCAGAUACAGAAUCAAAUGGAAGCUUGUUUAAUAUGUUUGAAUAUUCAGAAUUUCAGGGUAUAUUCUGCAUCUCAUUGUUACACAUUAAGUGAGGUCAUGAUGCCUUGUAUUAACCUAAUCUGGACUGGUAGAGGGGUCAGUAAAUAGCAUCUAGGACAUCCAGAUAGUAUUUUGAAGGCCAAACCACUGAAGUUGUCAGGCUUCAGCCAUAGCAAAGGAGAAAGGUGGUUAAUUGGCAAAGUGUUUAUAGAGUGAAAUUUCAGGCUUCUGUAGGGGUUGACUGACAGUUCUUAAAAGCUCCCUCUCACUGAGCUGGAUACACUGCCUGCCAGUCAAGAUCUGCCAGAUCCUGGCCGAUUGGCUGCUUGCCUUCUACCUCUGGCAGUGAAACCGGAAAAAGAAGAAUAGCUUGAUGCAACAUUGGCACUGUUAAGCUUUGAGCUGCUUUCUGCAAAAAGGACAGCUUGAGUCUUGUGUAAUGUGUUUUGUUUUUUUAAACAAGAAAAAUGGAAAGUGAUUAAUGUUAAAUGUAAAAAGAACAAAAGAGAAUAAAAAUAAGGACAGGUUCCUUCAGCCUAUCAGGGUAUCAGUAAUUUACAAAUCAGUGAUUGGUCCAAAAACUUGAAUGGAUUUCAUAGAGCCCCCAUUUUGACUGUCUUAAAAAUGUGGCCUAGCAAUUAGCUAAAAUCAUUAAUCAUUUAUGAAUGUCUUGGUUCAAAACAAUUCCAUUAUGUUUUGUAUCAACUAAAAAUAGACAAUGUACUAAAGUAAAGCUUGUUCACAUAAUAAAGAUUUCAUUUCCUGUUUGUUUGCGAGGGUUAACCUAUAAGGUGGCUAACUGGAGUCUUUAUUAGGCAUGGACACAUCAUGGUUCAUACUUGUAUUAGAAAGAGAGGGGCUUGAUUGCUUGAGUUUUGCAGAAACAAUGGCCACAAAUGGGAGUGUGAUAUAAGAGAAGCAUAAGCAAGUAUUUUGUCCAGAGUUGCUACCUGAGGCCUCAGCACAAUGAGAGUAGAAGUAGAAGCUGAAGAUAGACACAGUUUCACUAGCACGUUAAUUUAGCAGAACUCUUAUAUAAAAAAAAAAAAAAAAGAAAAAAUUGAGCCAACAUUUGCAUUGUUUUAAAAUCUACAAUAUUGCGGGGGCGAUAUAUUACUGUAUGCAGAAUCCUAUAUCUGUCACUGUAUCAUAGAGACCCAAGGAUCAAUGUUUAGCAGCCAAACAUAAGACUAAAAAGCCUACAAAAUAACAAUGAAUGAAUGAAUCUUUUGCCAAUUAAACAAUUAAGAUGCAAGAUGUGGAAAUAUAACUGGAUGUGGGUUUUUUUUGUAUUUCCAACAGUUCUUUAAUGCUGAAAGGCAAGCUUUAAUUUAAAUAUUUGUAUAAUUGUAAAAGCAUGAAGUCUCAGAAUGCCAUAUGACAUGAGAUUCCACUGGUAAUUAUGUUUUAUUUCUAUACUAUAUAUAAGAAAUUCCGGUUGGGUAGGUUGUUGAAAUAUGAGACUUUUAAUUACCAGUCUUUCCUGAGUUUAUGUAGCUAUUGCAAGUCUUUGCUUAGAGAAAAUAUUCUUUUAAUCCCCUUUUCCUAAAGUGAGGGUGUUAAAAUAGGAGUUGGCACACAUAAAUAGAAGAGAAACUUCCCAGAGGGGGCUGAUUAUCUGCAAGAUGUCCGGAGGCUGAAAUUUCCAUUGUGUUAAAAGCAGUAUGAUAGAGAAUCUCCCAGAGCUUGCACCCCGGGGCGCCUGACUGGCUGAAAAAAAUUUGCUGGUGGUGACUGGCUGGAAGCGUUAAGUAUCAUGUAGUCUCUGCAGGAAACCAACACGGAAGUGGCGUCCUCAGGUUUGAUGCUGUUGGCACUCUAGCUAGGUAUUAAGGAUGAAUCUACUGUAGCAAAGAGAAUUAUUAUACUUCAUUAAAUUGCUUUUGGCUGCAACUCAGUCAUUUUUGAGGAAAAACAAAACCCAACAUAACUUUUUUUUCUUCUUUGGAAGCACAGGUAUGAAAAGUGGAGGGUCCCUUCCCUAACCCUGAACAUCCUUUGAGUGUACAACCGUAAAAGGCCUGACUCAUCAUGAAGAUUCAUUCAGAGAUGAAGCCAUCAGACUGCGGAUUUCUCAUAAGAAGCAGAAUUAGAUGUCUGGGUGUCUUUGAUGCAUCACUCCUGCUGUAACAGAUCCUUCAUAAACAUAGAAAACUGAAUAACAUACUGUAAAUAACCUAAAGACAUUAUGCUUAGAAAUGUGCAUCUACUGUGGUUUGGCUCAUUCUUAUUUUGGAUGCUUAAACAUCGCCUGUAGAGUGCAAGUUUUCUUGCAAUUCUAUUCUUGGACUACUAGAGGUUGUCUCUUACAGAUUAAAGGUACAGAAAUUCUAAAACCAUUUUAUGCCUUCAUUCAUGAAACAACAUAUGCGGUUUCUGGAUUUAUCAGUAUGACACUGGGCUGACAUAAACUAGUAGUGGGAAAGUAGCGUGAAGUCUUAAUUGAAAAUGUCUCUAAAAUGAGUCCACACACUGCUAGAGGUUGUAACCUUGUGCUGAUUACAGCGCGUUGCCCCACCCCGAGUGCAGAUGUGCAACGGGUGACAUCAUAGCACGGUACUAGUCCAAAUGGAACAGAACAGUGCCAAUCCUGCCACCAACUCCCACGUUUUCCCUGCAAGUUUUAGGACCUGCUUGAAGUGCUGGGUUCCGGUUAACUGAAGCUCACCCAGAAUUGCCUUCAUUACAUCCACAGUGAAAGGAAAAUACUAUAUAUUACAAAGUGAAAAAAUGAAUAAAUAUGAUACCGUACUUAAGUUGAAAUAGUGUAAAAUACUGAGUGUUGAACCAGCAAGUCAUAAACCACCCGUUUCACUGCUGCUUAAGUUUAUAAAGUUAUGCUGCAUUUGGAGUUAGAUAUACAUGACCCUAAAACUCUAAAUGUGUUGUGAUCGUCAGAUCUGUCUAACACUCGGCCUUUCUGGAAGUGGCUUGGAUGGGUCUAUCUGUUCCAGUAGUGUGUGCUUCUAGGGGGACCUGCUAAACACUAAUAAGUAACGCAUGCUAAGGGGAUGCAGACAGAUCAGCUGCUGGCUUGCUGCUGCCAAGCUGUGUGUUCUGCUUGUCGCACUGCGCAUCAAUCAUUUAAAAGCCUGUACAGCAGCUGUCCUUUUGUCUCACUGCUUUGUCUCACAGGACGUCAAAGUGUCUUCCGAGAAGAUCACGUCUCAACCCAAGUUUUUCUUAUUAUAAUGCAGAGAUUUAUUUAUUUAAAGAGCUUCUGUAAAAAGCAAACUUUCCCCACUUGGGAAAAAUAAAGAUCAUCUAUCUAUCUAUCUGUAUGCCUGUCUGUCUAUCUAGUGCAUUUCAUAUCUAUCUAUCUAUCGUGAAAAGGUGCUAUAUAUGUGCACGACCCGACACAGACUGGACACGGAGGCACACGUAAAAUAAAUAUUUAUUUUUUCUUCGUGUCCCCCAGGCAGUACACAGUCCCAAGCACAACACACCAAAUAAAACACACAGCAAAGCACUCUUUUCUUCUUCCACCACUCCUCCCAGGCAACCUCGUCCUCCUCCUCUCGAUUCUGGCUCCCAGAGUGGUGGCUGCUGGCACCUUUUAUAGUUCACCCGGAAGUACUCCAGGUGCUUGAUUGCCGAGUUCUGGCUGCACUUCCGGGUGUGGUGAAAACACUGCCCAUAAGGGCUCAGGAGCUACAGCUGCAGCACCCCCUGGUGGUGCCUGCGGGACCCAACAGGGCUACACUCAAUUCCAAUUCCCAUGGAGCUCUACGGGAAACUGAGGCACCGCUCCUUCCCAGGGGGGCAGCCAUCUAGCGUCUAGGGGGAGGUAUUGCACCGUACAGGGCUGCUCCCUACUGCAUAUAGAGUGAAGGGGCAUGGACCCUAUCUAUCUAUCUAUCUAUCUAUCUAUCUAUCUAUCUAUCUAUCUAUCUAUCUAUCUAUCUAUCUAUCUAUCUAUCUAUCUAUCUAUCUAUCUAUCUAUCUAUCUAUCUAUCUAAAUAAAUUGGGGCAGCAGAUUUGAACUGGUAAGCAAAAAGUUUUUAUUUUUUUGAUUCAUUAUCAAUUUUACAAAAUAUUUCCAGAAAUUGUUUUUAUAAUAAAAAAGAGUUUAGUUAAAUUUACUGUUUGCCAAUUAAACAUUAAUGAAGGGGAAAAAAGGCUGCCUAUUUUUGUAGGCCAUAAGAUUAAAGAGUAAAAAAUGUAUUUAAAAAAUGGAAAGUGGGCUUUUGUUAUGUAUUACAUUUUUUCAUAAUUGUUAAUGAGCACUUCACUUCUUACUGUACAAUAAUAUUUAAAAUGUAUGCAUUCUUAAUCAAUAAAAAAAAAAUCACUAAAUGCUUGUAUUUUGGGUUGGCUUCCAAUUGCAGAGGUCUUAGACGGUAAGUGUCAGAACGGCCAUGCUGCACUAAUCACUACCUUUGGCUUCUUGUGUGGAAAAAAACUCAUUUAAGCAGGGACCACCUGUGUAGCUGGGAUGUGCUGUGCUUCUCAGGCCUGCGUGUGGUUGCAUUUGAGUCCAGUAAGACCCAAGCUGUUCUACAUGGUGGUGUGUAAUGACGUCUGGUACUGAUAACUCAGUAUAAAAUAAAGAUGAGCUAAGUGUUAUUUUGA